GAAUCGUGACGAAUGGGCACACGCGUGGCGGGGCUUACCUCCCUUGUAUAUGCCAACACUGAAACGAAAGUAACUUCUGUGAAACAACUCUUUACUGACGUGUACACUUCAGACGUGUUUUCUGUGGAAGGUUAUAGGUUCGCAUCCCAUUUGUGAAGAAGAAUAUAAGACAAUCUUUGUAACACUUUGCUGUCAGACGAACAGGAAUUCAUCGAAGACCACCACGUCAGAAGCAAUGGCCGACAUGGAAGUUGGAAAUGAUAUUUAUCAGAAACUCCUGGCGGUGAAGGUCGCGAUAAUAGUUCUGUUUACAUUGUUAAAUGUACUGUGCUGUAAGAAGGACACUGAAUACUUCCGGCUGGUGCUGGUUGGGGUCAGUUUGUCCUUUGUUGGAGAUUUCUGUAUGAUGUGGAAUUACUAUGUGGGGAUGGGUUUCCUCAUUGUUGCUCGGGUGCUCUACAUUGGAACAUCAAGUGGGAAGUUGCACAAUCCUUUGUUAGCUACCUUACCUUGCAUCCUAUGCUGUCUCCUGGUGUAUGUCGCUCGACUUGAAUUUAAAGGGGGUCUUUUUGUUGUUCAUGUGAUCGUAGCCAUGGUAGUGCCAUGCAUAGCAUUUGCAUCCGCACAAGAAAACAUGGGGCACAUCUGUAAGUGUUUCGGCAGCACAGUGCUGAUGGUAGCUAAUAUUUUAUACUCUGUUUCCCAUGACUUUGGCAUACCAAAUGUUAAUAUAGUGUCAGAAAUUGUUUCUUUGUUUGGGCAUGUUGCUGUAAUGCUGUCUGCGCUUUGUUUGAAGCAAAUACGAGAGGUUGAAUCUGAUUGGUCACUAGAAGAGGCGUAGAAAGGACAUAACUCGUAACAGCCACUGGUGGCGCUACGAUCGAGCUUAGGAAUUCAAGCCUAGUUCGGCAAGGGUGGAAACUGGACUUUUAAGGUCAGUUAACUCUCUUGCCUCGGGAAGAUGGGUAAAGUUGGAAUCGGAAUAUCGACUCUGAUUGUGCAGAGGUUUCUUACAAAUAUGGAAAUAUUUUUUGUCGCUUUUAUACAUUAUCAUGUAAGGCAUAUCCUAGGACUAUUGUGCCCGUUCCAAAACAAUGGUGGAUGUUGUCUUGCUACAACUCUCACCCUACCCUGUCAGCUGUAUAGUUUUGCUAUCAGGUCAAUGUGUGAACCUGGUUUUUGAAAUUGGACUUAUUAUGUGACAAUUGACAACUUUGUAAUGUUAUUGUGAAAUAGAAAAUAGUUUUCUUGGUGAUUAUUUUGAAACUUGUGUCGUUUAUUUGGUUUUAUAUUACCAACCAGAAAUAAAUAUGUUGCUAACACUC